UGUCCUUGCAUCAUUAUGUCCUUCCGGUAAUAUGCAGUGUGGUGUCUUUUUUGUAUUUCUCCACCAUAAAGUAUAUCUCUUUUGAUCCUGUAUGCACAUCAUCACAUGUUGCAUUAGACAAAGGUUAGGGCUACCCAAAAAGUUAAUUUGAAUACACAUGAACAAAAAAGAAAAGCAGUCUAAAUGCAAGCAAUGCAACAGAAUAAUCCACAAUGAGAU
rnacentral:lncRNA from 1 species